AAUGGCCGCCCGCGACUUUUGUCGCGCCGGAAACCGAGAGGCGGCCUCCAACUGCGCAUGCGUGGGUGAGAACACAUCUCUCCUACAGCCUCUCUUGCCCAGGCUAUUCCCUCCUUCGCGCCGAACUUCCUUCGGCCAAUAACUCAGGCGGAAGCAUCUGAUUGGACGUCGCUUCUGCGGUCAGACGUUUUCUGUCAUUGGUCAUCCUUGGCUGCCUGGCCCUGCCCAUUGGACAAAGGAGACGAAUGGGCGGGAUGUAUAUAUUCUUUAAGAAAAAUGCUCUUUAGCCUAUAAUGGUUUAGAGCCCACUGAUAAUGUCUUGCAGCACAAACCCACCUGUGUCUACCGAGAAGUAAGUCCUAUUGAAUUCAGUGGGCUUACUCCCAGGCAAGUAGGGUUAUGAUUGCCGUUGUCCCAUGGCUCCUUGUAACUUGUGGUACAACAGUCUACAUGUCUGUCAGUCUGGAGAAGGAAGAAUGUGGCUCUGACCUGCUUUCCAAGGAAUUGGCUUCUUUAAAUAGAGCAUUGUUCUUCUGCAGGGGACAUUGCCUCUUUUGCUGGGAAUGAACUGCAAGCAUUUCAUCAUGACAUCACAGGGGAAGAGGAGCAGAGUGUUGCUUGAUCCAGAGCCAGGAGAUCAUGCUUUUGACUCAGAUCUCUCAGGUCUGAGCUCAGCUUCUAGUUUAGCCAUGGACUCACUGGGUGUGCUCAAGUAUUUAAGUCUCUGUUAUCCAUCUGUAAAAUGGGCAUUGCCUGUGGAUGUUGGGCACAAUGAGAUCACCUACAUAAAUGUGCUCGCUCCUC